CCUACGGGUCGCACCAGUGGGGAAUUUUGGACAAUGGGCGCAAGCCUGAUCCAGCAAUGCCGCGUGCAGGAUGAAGGCCUUCGGGUUGUAAACUGCUUUUGUACGGAACGAAAAGCCCUGGGUUAAUACCCUGGGGUCAUGACGGUACCGUAAGAAUAAGCACCGGCUAACUACGUGUCAGCAGCCGCGGUAAUACGUAGGGUGCGAGCGUUAAUCGGAAUUACUGGGCGUAAAGCGUGCGCAGGCGGUUUUGUAAGACAGAGGUGAAAUCCCCGGGCUCAACCUGGGAACUGCCUUUGUGACUGCAAGGCUAGAGUACGGCAGAGGGGGAUGGAAUUCCGCGUGUAGCAGUGAAAUGCGUAGAAAUGCGGAGGAACACCGAUGGCGAAGGCAAUCCCCUGGGUCUGUACUGACGCUCAUGCACGAAAGCGUGGGGAGCAAACAGGAUUAGAUACCCGUGUAGUC
rnacentral:rRNA from 1 species